rnacentral:rRNA from 1 species
UACGGGGGGUGCGAGCGUUAAUCGGAAUUACUGGGCGUAAAGGGUCUGUAGGUGGUAUGAUAAGUCAGAUGUGAAAGCCCAGGGCUCAACCUUGGAACUGCAUUUGAUACUGUCGAACUAGAGUAUAGUAGAGGAAUGGGGAAUUUCUGGUGUAGCGGUGAAAUGCGUAGAGAUCAGAAGGAACACCGAUGGCGAAGGCAACAUUCUGGACUAAUACUGACACUGAGGGACGAAAGCGUGGGGAUCAAACAGG